UACGAAGGGGCUAGCGUUGCUCGGAAUCACUGGGCGUAAAGCGCACGUAGGCGGAUUGUUAAGUCAGGGGUGAAAUCCUGGAGCUCAACUCCAGAACUGCCUUUGAUACUGGCGAUCUUGAGUCCGGGAGAGGUGAGUGGAACUGCGAGUGUAGAGGUGAAAUUCGUAGAUAUUCGCAAGAACGACCAGUGGCGGAAGGCGGAGCUCACUGGCCCG
rnacentral:rRNA from 1 species